rnacentral:rRNA from 1 species
UAAGUAAGCGGAGGAUAAGAAACUAAAUAGGAUUCCCUAAGUAAUGGCGAAUGAACAGGGAUGAGCUCAGAAUGAAAAUCGGGGCCCAUGGCUUUGAAUUGUAGUCUUGAGAUGUGCUGCCAGCGGAGGCGCAGGUGUAAGCCUCUUGGAAAAGAGCAUCAAUGAGGGUGAGAGUCCCGUUUGUCAUCUGCAGCCCCCCGUGUACGGUGCACAUUCUGAGAGUCACGUUCCUCGGGAUUGGAGCGCAAAUCGGGUGGUAAAUUUCAUCUGAAGCUAAAUAUUGGUUCGAGACCGAUAGCAAACAAGUACCAUGAGGGAAAGGUGAAAAGGACUUUGAAAAGAGAGUUAAAAGUGCCUGAAAUUGCUGAAAGGGAAGCGAAUGGAACCAGCUAUGCUUGGCGAGAUUGUUGCUUGCUAAGGUGCCGGCUUGCCAGGAUAACGCAAGUGUCUUGGUUUGCUCUCAUCCGGAUGCAUGCGGUGGUUCUUGCCUUGUGUGUCAGCGCUGGUGUACACUUGAUGAAAACCGCAGGGACAAGGUAGCUCGCCCCCGGGUGUGUGAAUGGUUCUUGUUGGAAGUCACGUGUGCACUGGAUAUGGCGUGCCUCUUUUGGUGAGCCACAGAUCGAUGAC